rnacentral:rRNA from 1 species
UACGAAGGGGGCUAGCGUUGCUCGGAAUUACUGGGCGUAAAGCGUCCGUAGGCGGUUUUAAAAGUCUGUUGUUAAAGCCCACAGCUCAACUGUGGAACGGCAAUGGAAACUGUGAGACUAGAGAGUGGUAGGGGUAGAGGGAAUUCCUAGUGUAGCGGUGAAAUGCGUAGAUAUUAGGAAGAACACCAGUGGCGAAGGCGCUCUACUGGGCCAUUACUGACGCUGAUGGACGAAAGCUAGGGGAGCAAAAGGG